AAGCCAAUUAAUCUGUUUAUCUGAAUGUUUUUCUGCAGAAAUUUAGAAACACUUGGCAAUAGCGAUGCCAUUUUAUGGGCCUUAAGGACAAGUGAGGUCAUUAUGGUCCCUCAAAAUGGCUAUAAUA